GCCGCGGUCGCCCCGCGUUUGUGGAAGAAGCUCGUACCGGGAUGCUGCGGGAGCGAUCGGCGCUCGGGGCCGGAGUCCCGGCCCGGCGGCUGCUCCCGGCGCUGCGCCGAGCUCGGGGCGCUGAGCGGGGACGGCACCGGGGGACCGAGGCUGGCUUGGAGCUGCGAUGGGGUUCGGCAGCGGUACGGGGAUCGGCAUCGUUGGACUCGCUGCGGGGUGGGCGCUGGGGCCGAGCUCGGCAGGGCAGUUCGGGCCGGGGCUCUGCCGGGGCCCGGGUGGGGGAGAACGGCGGCGCUUCCCUCGUACAGACGCGGAACCCGGGCCGGGACCGGCCGGGGCGCGGGGACACGCCGGGCCGGCCCCGGGACCCCCCGAUCCCGCCGGGCCCGCAGCGCCGCCCGCACCCCCCGCGGGAUCGGAGCUCCUCCCUCUCGGGCACCCCCGAGGCCACCGCACCCCCCCCCACCGAAGAACAUCGCCCGCCUCCCCCUUCCCCGCGGCCCCAGGAGGUUCCCGCCCGCAGGGCCCCCCGGGAACGAGGGCUCUGGGGCCCGCCUGGGUUCCGGCCACGGGCCCGCUCCGGCCGCGGGGAGCCGGGGCAGGGAAGAACGGGGGCAGCCGCUCCCUCGUUCCUCCCGUGCUCCGGGACCCCGAGCAGAGCUGCCCGUCUGUCCCCGUGUCCCUGUGUCUGUCCUCAGGCGGCCCCAGGAGCUGGCGCUGACCGUGCCGCGGGUCGGGCACAGGCUGCUCCCAGCUCUGCCUGCGGAACUUCGGGAAUUGCCGACAGCAGUUCUUUGCCCUGCCAUCCAGAAGGUGCGGCUCUUCUGACACCUGCCAGACGGGGAAGGUCCUGCCUGGGAGGGAAACGACUAUAGCGGAGGAAACCAAGAAACGCUCCAACCGGACGGUGCCGCGCGAGUCAAAGGAGGGAAGAAGCGCAGGCAAAUACAGUCAGGAAAUCCGCUUUUAUUAAAUCUCUGCAGCAUUAAAUCCCCCCUUCCCAGCCACGGGCCGGAGGGAGCGCGGCCGGCUGGGCUGUGCCCGGCUGGGGACGGGCACCAAUUCAUCGCUGCCGUGCUCAGGGAGGUUUUCCGGCCCUGUCCGGGAUUCGCCCAAUGGCUGCAAAGGUGCUCGUGUGACGUCCGAGCUCAUUUCCAAGGAUAAAGGAGCCAACCGAGUCGGGAGGGAUCCCUCGCUCCGAGGCAAAGGCGUCGGUCGAGUGUCGCCGCCUGGUCCCGCCUGCGGGGGGGUGUCUCCUCCAGUUUCCCAGGGAGAAGAACAGGAACUCACAGCCACCAAGGCCUGACAGUCCCCUGCAGCCAGAGCUCCGCACACAGCCAGAGAGGCAAUUCCAGCAUCUAAAAGAAAAAAAGAAGAAAAAAGUGACUUAUUUUGUUUUAAAGUUAUUUUAAGUUGUUCCAAGCAAAGCAAGCCUUGCUCUGGUUUCAUUCACUGCCCUGCAGAUUUGCUCAAGUUUCACCCUCAGAAAUUUCUCUGCCUCUCCCCUCCUGACUGCCUCACUUUCUUCCAAAAUGUUCCUUCUCUCUGCUGCACAUUGCCACAGAUUUGACUCCCACAAUUUUCCCUACCUCUCCACAGCUGAUCACCUCAUGUAUACCUAAAUAUGUUCAUGCUCUACCCUACAGACCACCUCAAGUUUACUCUCAAAACUUUCCCUACCUGCGCAUCACUGACUACCUCCUUUUGACCUCCAAAUAUUCAUUCUCCACCCUGGAGAGUUUCUCAAGUUUUACCUGUCCCCUGAUGACUGCCUUAGUUUAUCCCAAAAUGUUCAUUCUCUCUGCCAGACACUGCCACACAUUUUAUCCCCAGAACCUUCCCUGGCCUGCUGUGGUGUCCACUCCUGAUUGCCUCCUCUGCACCUCUCAGGAUUCAUUCUGGACCCUGGAGAUUACCUCGAAGAUUUCUGCCCUAAAUGUCCCUACCUGGCCACCACUGAUUCCCUCAGUUGACCUCAUGAUGUCCUUUCUCUCCCCUGGAGAUAACCUCGUUCAAAACCCCCAGAGUUUUAACUCAAAAUAUUCGUUCUAUGUCCUGAACAUUACCCCAAAUUUUACCCCUGUAAUUUUCCCCAUAUGUCCACAAAUGAUUACCCCAGUUUACCUCAGGAUGUACAUUCUCUGCUCCAUGUGACCUCAAAUUUGACAAACAGAAAUUUUCCCUCCCUGCCCAACACUGACUGCCUCACUUUACCCCGAGGUAUUCAUUCUCUCUGCUACAGAUUUUACUCCCAAAAUUCUCCUUACCUACCCACAUGUAAUCACCUCUUCUGUACAAAUACAUGUUCAUUCUCUGCCUUGUGGGCUACCUCCUGUUUACCCUAAAACACUCCCCAGCUGUCCACCACUGAGUACCUCAUUUAUCCUUCAAAAUAUUCACUCUCUGCCCUGGACGUUCCCUCAAGUUUUACCCCCAAAGGUUUCCCCUCCUGCCCACCCCUGACUGCCUCAGUGUCCAGCAGGAGGUACAUCCUCUCUGCUACAGGUCACCUCACACUGGACCCACUGCAUUUUCCCGACCUCUCCACAUCUCAGCAACUCACUUCUACGUCAAGAUGUUCAUUCUCUACCCAGCACACCACCUCCAGUUUACUCUCAACACUUUCCCCACCUCUCCACCACCCAGGAACUCAUUUUCACCUCAGAAGAUUCACUCUCUGCCCUGCACAUUCCCACAAGUUUUACCCCCCACAUUUUCCCUGGAGGUCCGCAAGGUUUACCCCAGUUUAGCCCAGGAGGUGCAUUCUCUCUCCUCCACAUGACCUCUGAUUUUACAAACACAAAUUUUCCCUCCCUGCCCACCACUGACUGCCUCACUGGACCUCAAAAGGCUCCUUUUCUCCCCUAGGUGACAUCCACACUUACCCUCACAGUUUUCCCUGCCUGCAAACUACUUAUUACUUCAUUUUUUCCUCCAAAGAUUUGUCCUCUGCCACACAGAUGACCUCAGAUUUUUCCCCCAAAACCUCCUUACCUGUCCACUACUGUUUGCCCCAGUCUACCCCAUGUGGUGCAUUCUCUCUGCUGCACAUUACCUCAGGUUUGACAAACAAAGAUUUCCCUCCCUGACCACUACUGACUGCCUCACCUUACCCCAAAAGAUUCAUUCUCUCUGGGACAGAUUGCCCCACAUUUUACUCCCAACAUCUGCCUUACCUGUCCACGUCUGACCAGCUCCUUUGUACCUACAGAGGGUCACUCUGCACCCCACAGACACCUCAGGCUUAUCUCAAACCUCUCCCCACCUGUCUGCCACCGAGUGCCUCAUCUUUACCUCAACAGGUUCCUUCUCUUCCCAGCAGAUCACCUGAACUUUAACACCCACAAUUAUCUGUGUCUCUCACCACUCAUCACCUCAGGUUACCUCAAUGUGUUCAUUCCCUGCCCUGGAGAGAAUGAACCUCCUUUUUAUCCCCCAAACUUUCCCCUUCCAGCCCACUCCUGAUUACCUCUUUUUGAACACA